rnacentral:tRNA from 1 species
GGACCCAUCGCCUAGCGGAUAUGGCGCCGGCCUCCUAAGCCGGUUGUCAUGAGUUCGAGUCUCAUUGGGUCCGCCA